rnacentral:rRNA from 1 species
UCAAGCUCAAAAGGGCGCAUGAUGGAUGCCUUGGCAUCAGCAGGCGACGAAGGACGUGAUAAGCUGCGAUAAGCUUCGGGGAGCGGCAAAUACGCUUUGAUCCGGAGAUGUCCGAAUGGGAAAACCCAGCGGGGGUAAUGCCCCGUUGACGGAGUCCGAAUAAAAUAGGGCUUCGUCGCCAACCCCGGGAAGUGAAACAUCUCAGUACCGGGAGGAAAAGAAAACAACAGUGAUUCCCUCAGUAGUGGCGAGCGAAAGGGGAACAGCCCAAACCAUCCGGCUUGCCGGAUGGGGUUGCGGGAUCCCGACGUGGGAUCUUCAAAGGAUAGAAGAAGCUUGUGGAAAAAAGCUCCAAAGAGGGUGACAGGCCCGUAUUCGAAAUCCGGAGAAGCCCUAGGGACAUCCCAAGUAGCACGGGACACGUGAAACCCCGUGUGAAUCCGGUGCGUCCACGCACCAAGGCUAAAUACUGCUGGUGACCGAUAGUGAACUAGUACCGCGAGGGAAAGGUGAAAAGAACCCCUGUUAGGGGAGUGAAAUAGUACCUGAAAUCAUGUGCUUACAUGCUAUGGUAGUCCGGCGCAAGCCGGAUGGCCGUUUGCCUUUUGCAUAAUGAGUCCGCGAGUUAUGGUUGGCAGCCAGGUUAAUCCGCCGCAGGCGGAGGAGCCGAAGCGAAAGCGAGUGCGAAAUGUGCGUUCAGUUGCCGGCCAUAGACCCGAAGCCGAGUGAUCUACCCAUGGGCAGGUUGAAGUCGCUGUAACAGGCGAUGGAGGACCGAACUUAUGAGGGCUGAAAACCUCUAGGAUGACCUGUGGGUUGGAGCGAAAGACUUAUCAAACUCGGUGAUAGCUGGUUCUCCUCGAAAUAACUUUAGGGUUAGCCUGCACGAAUGCUCGCCGCGGAGGUAGAGCACUGAAUGGAAUAGGGGCCUUACCGGGUUUCCAACGCCAAUCAAACUCCGAAUACCGCGGCAGUCACGUGUGGAGAUAGACUGUGGGGGAUAAGCUUCAUAGUCAAAAUGGAAACAGCCUAGACCGCCAGUUAAGGCCCCUAAAACCGGUUCAGUGACUAAGGAUGUACGAUUGCUAAAACAGCUAGGAUGUUGGCUUAGAGGCAGCCAUCAUUUAAACAGUGCGUAACAGCUGACUAGUCGAGCGAUUGUGCGCCGAAAAUGAUCGGGACUAAACCGGUUGCCGAAGCUGCGGAUUUCUCCCGCCUGCGGGUGGGAGAAGUGGUAGAGGAGCGUUGUAUCAGCAUUGAAGCGUUCGGGUGACCGGGCGUGGAGCGGAUACAAGUGAUUAUGCGGACAUGAGUAACGAAUAGCCGGGCGAGAAUCCCGGCCGCCGUAAUCCCAAGAUUUCCUGGGGAAGGUUCGUCCGCCCAGGGUUAGUCGGCCCCUAAGUCCAGGCCAUUCAGGCGUAGGCGAUGGGAAGCAGGUUCAAUAUUCCUGCACCGCCGAUGGGCGAUUAAGACGCGAAGGAGUACUCGGAAAGGUAGAUCAGCCGUCGAUUGGAAGUGACGGUUCAAGCCCGUAGGGGUGUGGCCAGGCAAAUCCGGCCGCGCAACCUGAAAGGUGAUGAGACGUGGAGGCUUCGGCCGAAGCGGAUUGAUUGACACUCGGCCGACAAGAAAAGCUUCUAGCGAGCCCAUAGGCGACCGUAUCGGAAACCGACACAGGUGGGAAGGUAGAAUAUACCAAGGCGCGCGAGAGAAACCUCGUUAAGGAACUCGGCAAUCUAGCCCCGUAACUUCGGAAGAAGGGGUCCUCCCGACUGUCCGUGUAACAACAAAGCGGUUUGGAGGCGCAGUGAAAGGGCCCAGGCGACUGUUUAUCAAAAACACAGCACUAUGCCAACUCGCAAGAGGAUGUAUAUGGUGUGACACGUGACCAAUGCCGUAAGGUUAAGGCAAGGGGUUAGCCGCAAGGCGAAGCUCUGAACCGAAGCCCCGGUGAAUGUCGGCCGUAACUAUAACGGUCCUAAGGUAGCGAAAUUCCUUGUCGGGUA